GAUGAACGCUAGCGGCAGGCUUAAUACAUGCAAGUCAAGGGGGUAGCAAUACAACCGGCGCACGGGUGAGUAACGCGUACACAACAUACCAUAUACUGGGGUAUAGCUUCGGGAAACUGAAGGUAAUCCCCCAUAAUAUUGCGGGAAGGCAUCUUUCUGCAAUUAAAGUUUCGACGGUAUAUGAUUGGUGUGCGUUGUAUUAGCUAGUUGGUAGGGUAACGGCCUACCAAGGCGACGAUCAAUAGCUGGCGUGAGAGCGCGACCAGCCACACUGGAACUGAGACACGGUCCAGACUCCUACGGGAGGCAGCAGUAGGGAAUAUUGGACAAUGGGCGAAAGCCUGAUCCAGCCAUGCCGCGUGAUAGAUGAAGG
rnacentral:rRNA from 1 species